rnacentral:rRNA from 1 species
GACGUCAAGUCAUCAUGGCCCUUACGGCCUGGGCUACACACGUGCUACAAUGGUCGGUACAGAGGGUUGCCAAGCCGCGAGGUGGAGCUAAUUUCACAAAACCGAUCGUAGUCCGGAUCGCAGUCUGCAACUCGACUGCGGGAAGUCGGAAUCGCUAGUAAUCGCGAAUCAGAAUGUCGCGGUGAAUACGUUCCCGGGCCUUGUACACACCGCCCGUCACACCAUGGGAGUGGGUUGCACCAGAAGUAGCUAGUCUAACCUUCGGGGGGACGGUUACCACGGUGUGAUUCAUGACUGGGGUGAA